AAAAAAUCAUCUGUUUUAAAGUGUUAAUGCAUUGUGAAAACCAAUAUUUCAUCAAUGAAAUUCAAGUCAGAUAAUUCUCAUGAAUCUCCUUUUCAUAUUAAAUACAAUUUUUUUUAAGUCUGAUGCAGACAUUUUGUAGUCAAAGCAUUUCAACUGAGGUACUACACAAGCGUCAAAAGGCGUCAUUAUGGAGUAAAAAGGGUG
rnacentral:lncRNA from 1 species